UGAGAGCCAUACAUUCAGUACAGGUAACUGGAGCAAGCCCUGAUGCUCCCAGGCAAAUGAGAAGCGCAAUGUGGUAAAUCGGACAUCCUGAAAUGCAUACUUUUUUGAGGCCAGGAAGCUAGCUUUUUUAGGAGUAUCUAUCAAUGCAUUGGCCGAAGUCACAUGCUCCAAGUGAGACCUACAAACCUGGAAAAGAUUAAAUAAUCCCUGAAUGAAAUUCAAGAAUUGGUCAUUCGGUCUACAGGACCUUUUAUGAACAGCACUGUAACACCAAACUGUCAUAGAAGCACUGCUAUCCAGGCCAUUGGUUUUCCCGACUGGUUUUCCCAUUCCAAGAGGAUGACUUGGAUUUCAGGGAGAAAGUGCUGGUUGGUCUCCGCUUAGCUUGAAGAAUAGGCAUAAACGCAAGCUUUUAUUUACACUUGUCUUGCUUCUGCAAGACACCGGAGGUAUCCAGGAGGAGGAAUCACUGGAGGCUGGAGACCAUCUUGCCAUGAAGCAGCCAAAGCUUAGGAGACCACACGAGAGAGAUUCCUCU